CACGUAGGCACCAAGCGUUGUCCGGAUUUAUUGGGCGUAAAGAGCUCGUAGGCGGUUCGGUAAGUCGGGUGUGAAAUCUCUGGGCUCAACCCAGAGGGGCCACUCGAUACUGCUGUGACUAGAGUGCGGUAGGGGAGUGGGGAAUUCCUGGUGUAGCGGUGAAAUGCGCAGAUAUCAGGAGGAACACCAGUGGCGAAGGCGCCACUCUGGGCCGUAACUGACGCUGAGGAGCGAAAGCGUGGGUAGCAAACAGG
rnacentral:rRNA from 1 species